GGACCGAAAGGCCUCGCGCGGUUGGAGCGGCCGAUAUCGGAUUAGCUAGUUGGUGAGGUAAAGGCUCACCAAGGCGACGAUCCGUAGCUGGUCUGAGAGGACGACCAGCCACACUGGAACUGAGACACGGUCCAGACUCCUACGGGAGGCAGCAGUGGGGAAUUUUGGACAAUGGGGGCAACCCUGAUCCAGCCAUUCCGCGUGAGUGAAGAAGGCCUUCGGGUUGUAAAGCUCUUUCAGCAGGAACGAAACGGUGGUCCCUAAUACGGGCUACUAAUGACGGUACCUGAAGAAGAAGCACCGGCUUACUC
rnacentral:rRNA from 1 species